UUUGUUCCAUGUUUGUGUGACCUGGGAGCUCCCCUGAACUCUCGGGUCUGUGCAAAACUUGAGGCUCAGAGUUGGAGUUCUCGAACUCCUAAAGUACUGCAGAAGCAGCACUGAUUCUAAAAGAUGACUCCAUACAGCAAUUGUUGAAGAAGGUGAAACAUGGGGUCGGACUCCAGUUGGAGCUGUGAGUUGGGCUGAUCUGGUCUCGACUACAUGUCACAGGCUCCCACAGUGUGAUCCCAAAACCAGCUACAUGGCUGCAAGGAAUCAACAAUGGGCCCAGCUGUGCCCCACUGGGGUACGUGUUUUUCUGUAUUUGGAUAACUGGAGAAUAAAGCCUGGACGCUGCCACCCUAAAUGGCCGCAGGAGGCUUCAAGCUGCAAGACUCUUCCCAUUUCACCAGUCGGUGUACGCUGGCACUUCACC